GCCAAGCAGUGGCUUCGGCCCUGCGCCAGGCCCGGCCUGCACCCUGGGCGCCCCGCUCCGGUCCAGCCUUUCACAGGUGGGGAGGGCAGCCGGAGAGGGUGAGGGGCCCACCCAGGGUCACCCACCAACCAAGGAAUGGAGCGGGCAGCGGGAGACGCAGCCGAAACUGGGGUGUCAAGUAGCCUGGGUUCCAGGCUAGCUUGCAGCAAAACCUCGGCUGCUCAAAAGCAAUUUUUCAAGAACAAAAAGGUCAGCACGUCCAAGACUAAUCAAUUCUCGGAGAGCUCCUGCCGCCACCGCCGGGGGAGCUGGGGACUGGUGGCCCCCUCUCUUCCCGCCAGCCCCCUCCCACCAGCCCCAUCACUUUUAUUGCUUCAUGAUGCCUGUCAUUAGCGGUGUGUUUGAGACGCCCCACAGUGUUCUUACAACAUAAAACCUGGGCCGCUUGCAGAGGAGGGGCCGGGCCCAUUUAUGGCCACUCGCCGCCCUGGACAGUAACAGCCGAGCUGAUGGAUCGCCCGCAAGGGGAGCCAGGACAGGAAGCAUCCAGCCACUUGUUCAAGGCUCGUCAGCCCGGAGGAGCCAGCGCCCUGCCUGCCUGCUCUCAGGCCUGGCCCUCUUUCCCUCAACUCCCCUUCACUGUGACCUUGGACACCUGCCCUCUGUCACCCCUUCCAGGCCUUGCUUCUUAGGGUCCCCCUGGUCCCCACUGCACCCCUGCUUGGGGGCACAAUAUUCCUUCCUGAAUAUCCCCUGCCCUCAGAAUGGCGCCACGGCCUACCACCUCCAACACUCUGAGGUCUGCAUUCCCACUCCAGAUGGGGAAACUGAGGCCCAAUGUCACAGAAGUCGGAAGGAGCAGGUGCAGGCUGGGACCAGGCACGUGACCCGCCCAGAGUUACAUGCGUGAGCCGUGCCCAGUGGAGAACAAGUCUGCUCUUCUAGGUUUUGCUUUGCCCUGGUCCCAGCUGUCCUAUCAUCCCGACCUCUGAUGCCCAUGCCAACAGCAGCUAAAACGCACCAAGGCUUCCGGGAGCAGACCCUGCACUCGGCGCGCUGACUGGCUGACCCCUCUAUCUCCACGACAACCCUGUUGUUAGCCGUUCUUAGGCCCAUCUUUCAGAUGAGGAUACAGACACAGGGAUACGAGGUAUCAUGCCCCAGCCCACGCGGCUAGCCACAUGGGGGCUGGGUCCCCACGAUCUGCUUUUCGUUCUUUUUAACAAAAAAUGGCUUAGGAUAUGAAGUAUCCAGAAUAGGCAAAUCCAUAGGCGCAGGAGACAGAUUGGUGGUUGCCCGGGGCUGUGGGAAGGGAAAGGAGGAGAAACUCCUUAAUGGCCACGAGGUUUCCUUCUGGAGGGAUGAGAAUGUUCUGGAACUGGGUAGGGGGGAUGUGGUUGCACAACAUUGUGAGUGUGCUCAAUGCCACCGAAUUGUACAUUUUAAAGUGAUUGGUUUUAUGUUAUGCGAACUUCACUUCAAUAAAUUAUUUUGUAAAAAUG